GUCUUCCGUGACUGCCUGCCUGAACUCUGUUAAGGCUACAGCCUGAUAAGGAUACCAAUUUAGAGGCUUAGCCCAGGGCUAUGAGGUCUGCAACCAGACGGUCUUCAGAACAUCUAUCAUCAUCGGUCAUCUGAUGUGGCGUUGGGGGGAGUAAGACUCAAGUCUUUCCUGGUUGCCUUUGAAGAUGGAGAAUUCUCGGCUCCUUCUCCAGCACCAUGUCUGCCUGCAUCCUGCCAUGAUGAUAAUGGACUGAAGCUCUAAACAUGUAAGCCAGCCCCAAUGAAAUGUUGUCCAUUAUAAGAGUUACCUCGGUUACAGUGUCUCUUCACAAUAAUGAAACCCAAACUAAGACAUGGCAGCUAGUGAGAUAAGAGACCCAA